UACGUAGGUGGCGAGCGUUGUCCGGAUUUACUGGGCGUAAAGAGCGCGCAGGCGGCUGGUCAAGUCCGAUGUGAAAGCUCCCGGCUUAACUGGGAAAUUGCAUCGGAAACUGAUCGGCUGGAAGGUGGGAGAGGAAGGCGGAAUUCUCGGUGUAGAGGUGAAAUUCGUAGAUAUCGAGAGGAACACCGGUGGCGAAGGCGGCCUUCUGGACAGCAACUGACGCUGAGACGCGAAAGCGUGGGGAGCAAACAGG
rnacentral:rRNA from 1 species